AUACUUACCUGGCAGGGGAGAUACCAUGAUCGAAGGUGGCUUUCCCAGGGCAAAGCUUAUCCAUUGCGCCGCGGAUGUGCUGAUCCCUGCGAUUUCCCCAAAUGUGAGAAACUCGACUGCAUAAUUUGUGGUAGUGGGGGACUGCGUUCAAGCUUUCUCCUG
ensembl:snRNA U1 U1 spliceosomal RNA